GUCCCACAUGGUCGCUUGACAACGUUGCGGCGGUGCUGUGCGAUUGGAGACGGAAGAGGGAAAAAAUGGAGGCAAACAACCGCGACAAGGAGACGGGGAGCGCCGCCGGUGCUGAUUUCCCGUGGAUCCUGUUUUCGCGUGAGCGUCCCUAACUCGUGCGAUUCAUCUGUGGGUGGUUUCAGUGUCCUAUGUGUUCCCUGCUGAACUUGCAAGCGUUUCAAGCGAACCUGUGCGUGCAGGUUUCCCAUCUUCCCCGUUGUGGUUCUUCCCGCGGGGUCAGAUGCAAACGAGAGAAGCGAGGUGGGUAGCCAAGGGGUGGGGGGCUUGCCGAGGAGAGUCUGCCGUUAAGCCUGAUCCGUGACCUCCUGGGCGGAUUGAGAGGGUGCAAGUUGGUACAAAUCCUGAAGAGCGGAUGCCAGGAUGAGGGCUCUAGACUUGUCCAUUAGAGGUUUCGCAGACAGAGAUUGAGAUCAGGUGAUCAAGCCAGAAUUGGGCACCACAUUUGACUUGCUGAUGGAGGCAUGCACCUUCUACAACCUGUUUUCUUGGGAGGUUGGAUUUGGUAUCAGAUAUGGAAAGAGUCGGCUAAAGCCGGACAAGAGGAAGACAAUGCAAGAAAUCGUGAGUGGCUGCUCGUACAUGAGGCUACAAUUCGACACGCAAGCUGAGGAGGGCUACAAAGAGAAACCGACCGAAAUUGUAAGUGUUUGUCACAUUCAGUGCAGGGUGAGGCACACGCAGGCGGGCAGUAGGGAGAGUGCAGCAUGGUUGUAUUCCUAAUGAAAAUGAUUGACGGCGGAGCACAUUUCGAAAGCGAAUGUGGCAUAUGCUCUGUUGUCAUAUUCUGAAGGUCAUGGAUAAUAUUAGCAUGACAGAAGUAGCAGAGAGCCACAUAGUGAAAAGGUGGUCGAAAGAUGCAAGAGAUAUUUUGCCGGAUCACUUGAAGCACUACUAGCGGGACCAGAUCAAUAGCACGUUCCUAACUUAUACUUGCGAGCGGAAAGCAGGGGGAGAUAUCCCGCAAAAAAAAGGAAAGCAGGGGGAGAUGUAGUGAGCUGAAAGCUGGUACUGUCAAGUGUCAAGUGCAAAUUAAGUGUUUAGUUAGAAACCGAUGUGUGGUUGUGUUUCAACUUGUGCUGAUGGUGUUUUUUUUUUCAAUUCUGCUGUAAGGAAACUGACAUGUCAAACUGGUAGCUCUUUGAUGUUGCAAUGCUCAUGACUCAUGAGGUAGUAACUGCUCGUUCUUGUAGGCUGGUGUUGUGUGUGCAGCAUGAAUGGUUAGAGCGGCUUGUAGCCUAUGAAUUCAAAAUUUGAAUG